UUUUCUUCGGAACUGAAGAUUUGGUGAUUGAGUGGCGGACGGGUGAGUAACGCGUGGGCAACCUGCCCUGUACAGGGGGAUAACAGUCAGAAAUGACUGAAAAAAACUAUACCGCAUAAGACCACAGCACCGCAUGGUGCAGGGGUAAAAACUCCGGUGGUACAGGAUGGACCCGCGUCUGAUUAGCUGGUUGGUGAGGUAACGGCUUACCAAGGCGACGAUCAGUAGCCGGCUUGAGAGAGUGAACGGCCACAUUGGGACUGAGACACGGCCCAAACUCC
rnacentral:rRNA from 1 species